GCACGGGACAGGGACGCUGCUGCCCUGGUGCAGCAAGCAGGGCUCCUCUGCAUCCUCCCACCCCUCUUAUUUCCCCGCACCUCCCCGACUGAAGCCAACCUCCAGCGCUGCUAAUCCAUCCCAUGGCAGCAUCCCGCUGCUCGCACCUGUGGGGCACGCCGGCCAGCUGGUGUUAAUUGCUGAAAGUUGCUUUCUGAAGGCAGCCCUCCUUGCACAGCAUCCCGCAUCCUAUCCUGCUAAGGAAGGUGCGUUCCCUCUGCAGGAGCCGGCUGGAGCAGGAGCGCAGGAGAUCGGUGGGGAUGCCGGAGCGCAGCAGUGGGUUGGCACCGGCAGCCCCAUGGAGUUUGAGCCGGGCACGGCGGGCUUCUUCCCCCCCGAGGAAAUAUCUCAGCUACCAGCAUCACAGUGCUGAGCCAAAGCGUCCCGGCAGUGCGCAAUGAGCAGUGGGGAAACGUGGUGGUUAAAGACAGCCUCCCAAGAGCCUGGCGGGAUUGACGAGAGGUAAGCCAAGGGAAGGGGAGAUGGACUAGAAACCACAUGUACAAACAUGCAGUUAUGAACAAUGGAUGGGAGGCAAGUUAUCAGCUAUCACUGCUCUUCUGAUAAUUGCUGUUACUUCAUCUCUUUGUGUGUGUCAGUACCACUCAUUUUUGUUGCGCCACUUCAAGGUGAGACUUUACAGCCUUACAGAUCUAGUGGGCACAGUGGUGAUGGGUCAGUGGUUGGCCUGGAUGAUCCAAAUGGUCUCCUCCAACCUUAGUGAUUCUGUGAAACACACAAUUUUUAGAAGAGCUUUUGCUCUUUCUAGCUUCUAGGAGAAAUAAGCUACCAGAGCAGGUUCAUCCCUGUUGCUAUACUUUGAUACCGGUGACCCUUCAUAGCAGCAACUCCCUUACAACGGUGGUGCUGGUACCCAAGAGCUGCCAGCCAUUCAGCACGGCGCCUUCCAAUGCCACUCCAACAACACACAGCUACACCUGAGCUCUGCUUGCCUUACGUGGUUCCCUCCUUAUCACCAGUUCAGUGCUAACCCAGAGACAGAUGGUGCUUUGCAGUACCAUGAAUGAAGCCACGAUACCCGAAAAUCUCCGGUCCCAACUCGAAAGGUGAUGCUGAGUAUAUUUAAUGACGCGGCGGCAGCAGACGACAGCCACC
rnacentral:lncRNA from 1 species